rnacentral:lncRNA from 1 species
CAAAAUGCAAAAUCAGCUCAUAUAUGGAUGUUGCGUUUGGGUCUCAGCAAAAACAACAACCCUUGCCGCCUUUCUUAAAUCAGAGAUGAGAAAGUAAUUCAUGGUUUUCUUCAAUUAUUUCUGGUACAUAUUUUCUUCGAGAAGUAAAUUGUGUUGUGGAUUCAUAUAGAUUACUGAGUCUCUUACCUGCCCUCUUUUCUAUUGAAGUUGCGGAUGAUCUGACCUCCAUUUGCGUAGCCUUUGGCUUCUCAUGCUACCGUCCACAGCAGGUUGCCACUAUUACCAG